UACGAAGGGGACUAGCGUUGUUCGGAAUCACUGGGCGUAAAGCGCACGUAGGCGGAUGUGUCAGUCAGGGGUGAAAUCCCGGGGCUCAACCUCGGAACUGCCUUUGAUACAGCACGUCUCGAGUCCGGAAGAGGUGGGUGGAAUUCCUAGUGUAGAGGUGAAAUUCGUAGAUAUUAGGAAGAACACCGGUGGCGAAGGCGGCCAUCUGGACGACAACUGACGCUGAGACGCGAAAGCGUGGGGAGCAAACAGG
rnacentral:rRNA from 1 species